GAUGAACGCUGGCGGCGUGCCUAAUACAUGCAAGUCGAGCGAACUGAUUAGAAGCUUGCUUCUAUGACGUUAGCGGCGGACGGGUGAGUAACACGUGGGCAACCUGCCUGUAAGACUGGGAUAACUUCGGGAAACCGAAGCUAAUACCGGAUAGGAUCUUCUCCUUCAUGGGAGAUGAUUGAAAGAUGGUUUCGGCUAUCACUUACAGAUGGGCCCGCGGUGCAUUAGCUAGUUGGUGAGGUAACGGCUCACCAAGGCAACGAUGCAUAGCCGACCUGAGAGGUGGAUCGGCCACACUGGGACUGAGACACGGCCCAGACUCCUACGGGAGGCAGCAGUAGGGAAUCUUCCGCAAUGGACGAAAGUCUGACGGAGCAACGCCGCGUGAGUGAUGAAGGCUUUCGGGUCGUAAAACUCUGUUGUUAGGGAAGAACAAGUACGAGAGUAACUGCUCGUACCUUGACGGUACCUAACCAGAAAGCCAUGGCUAACUACGUGCCAGCCACCGCAGUAACAC
rnacentral:rRNA from 1 species